rnacentral:rRNA from 1 species
GACGUAGGGUGCGAGCGUUGUCCGGAUUUAUUGGGCGUAAAGAGCUCGUAGGCGGCUCGUCGCGUCGUCCGUGAAAACUUGGGGCUUAACCCUAAGCUUGCGGAUGAUACGGGCGGGCUAGAGUUCGGUAGGGGAGACUGGAAUUCCUGGUGUAGCGGUGAAAUGCGCAGAUAUCAGGAGGAACACCGGUGGCGAAGGCGGGUCUCUGGGCCGAUACUGACGCUGAGGAGCGAAAGCGUGGGGAGCGAACAGG